rnacentral:rRNA from 1 species
GAUGAACGCUAGCUACAGGCUUAACACAUGCAAGUCGAGGGGCAACGACAUCGAAAGUUUGCUUUUGAUGGGCCUCGACCGGCACACGGGUGAGUAACGCGUAUCCCACCUGCCCAUCACUUGGGAAUAACCUUGCGCAAGUAAGACUAAUACCCACUACUAUCCCACGAAAGCAUCGGAUUGUGGUUCAUGAUUUAUCGGUGUUAGCUGGUGAUGCGUCUGAUUAGCUUGUUGGCGGGGUAACGGCCCACCAAGGCAACGAUCAGUAGCGGUUCUGAGAGGAAGGUCCCCUACAUUGGAACUGAGACACGGUCCAAACUCCUACGGGAGGCAGCAGUGAGGAAUAUUGUGCAAUGGGGGAGAGCCUGAACCAGCCAAGUAGCGGGCAGGAAGACGGGCCUAUGGGUUGUAAACUGCUUUGAUAAGGGAAUAAAGUGGGUCACGUGUGACUUUUUGCAUGUACCUAAUGAAUAAGGACCGGCUAAUUCCGUG